ACGGAAGGCAGCAGUGAGGAAUAUUGGUCAAUGGGCGAGAGCCUGAACCAGCCAAGUAGCGUGCAGGAUGACGGCCCUAUGGGUUGUAAACUGCUUUUAACCGGGAAUAACGUUACCUUCGUGAAGGUAAGUGCAUGUACCGGUUGAAUAAGGAUCGGCUAACUCCGUGCCAGCAGCCGCGGUAAUACGGAGGAUUCGAGCGUUAUCCGGAUUUAUUGGGUUUAAAGGGAGCGUAGGCGGGAAGUCAAGUCAGCUGUGAAAUGUAGACGCUCAACGUCUGCACUGCAGUUGAAACUGGUUUUCUUGAGUGCGUAAGAGGCAGGCGGAAUUCGUCGUGUAGCGGUGAAAUGCUUAGAUAUGACGAAGAACACCGAUUGCGUAGGCAGCAGACCAGGCCGUAAAUGACGCUCAUGCACGAAAGUGCGGGGAUCGAACAGGAUUAGAUACCCUGGUA
rnacentral:rRNA from 1 species